UACGUAGGGUGCGAGCGUUAAUCGGAAUUACUGGGCGUAAAGCGUGCGCAGGCGGCUUUGCAAGACAGAUGUGAAAUCCCCGGGCUUAACCUGGGAACUGCAUUUGUGACUGCAUGGCUGGAGUGCGGCAGAGGGGGAUGGAAUUCCGCGUGUAGCAGUGAAAUGCGUAGAUAUGCGGAGGAACACCGAUGGCGAAGGCAAUCCCCUGGGCCUGCACUGACGCUCAGUGCACGAAAGCGUGGGGAGC
rnacentral:rRNA from 1 species